CCCAAGAUGGCGACUCCCAUGCACUGGCUCAUAGCCCGGAGACAAGCUGAAGCAAAUAAACAACACGUAAGAUGUCAGAAAUGCUUGGAAUUUGGACAUUGGACUUAUGAAUGCACAGGAAAAAGAAAAUAUCUACAUAGGCCUUCAAGAACAGCAGAACUAAAGAAAGCUUUAAAAGAAAAAGAAAAUCGAUUAUUAUUACAGCAAAGCAUUGGAGAAACUAAUGUAGAAAGAAAGACCAAGAAAAAAAGGUCUAAGAGUGUAACUAGUUCCAGUAGCAAUAGCAGUGAUAGUUCAGCCAGUGAUUCUUCAUCAGAAAGUGAAGAAACAUCUACCUCAUCCUCCUCAGAGGACAGUGACACAGAUGAAAGCUCCUCCAGUUCGUCAUCUUCAGCCUCCUCCACGACCUCUUCCUCCUCCUCUGAUUCAGACUCAGACUCCAGCUCUUCCAGUAGCAGCAGCACCAGCACAGAUAGCAGCUCUGAGGAUGAACCACCAAAGAAGAAGAAAAAGAAAUAGAAUUGCUCUUUCCAUGCUGGACCAAUGAACUGAAAACAUCAAUGUGACUCUCAAUGGAAAAUUAGAAAAUAUUCAAGCAAAUAGCUUAACUAGUCAAAAUUUCUAGAGUUCAAAAGUUUCUAAGUGUUUUGUAUUGUAAGGGCAGAAAGAGUAUUAAUAAUGGAUUAUAUAUAUAAAGACUUAUUUUGGGGGUGAAUCUUGUUUAUCUCUGAAACAUAUCUCUAUAACUUGAUCAAAGCUGAAAACUAGUAAAUCUGGUUUUUUUUGUGAUGAGACUCACUUUUUUCUCCUUGUAAAAUAAAUGUCAUACUGUGUUAAUGGUAUGUAUGGGACAGGUUUUCAGGAUAAUACAUCAGAAUAUCUGGCAGUGAAUUUCUAAUACUUGUGGCUGUGUUUAUUAUGUAAGACUUAAUACAUUGUCUCUAUAAGCUUAGGAAUUUUCCUACUGUUAAUAAAUAUGCUGUAUUUUUA